CCAUGAAGGAAUGUGAUGCAGCCUAUUGGAGGAGAACCAAACCCCACCACCACCCCAGAAAGCCAUACCAGCUGCCGACAUGUACAUGGGCUCAUCGGGGGUUUUCCAGGCCCACUGAUGUUCCAGCUGAGCACAGCUGCCGGGGCCCUGCUGGGCUAGGUGACUCACGCCUGUAAUCCCAACACUUUUGGAGGCUGAAGCGGGCGGAUCACAAGGUCAGGAGUUCAAGACCAGCCUGGCCAACUUGGUGAAAGCCUGUCUCUACUAAAAAUUCAAAAAAAUUAGCUGGGCAUGGUGGCGGGCGCCUGUAAUCCCAGCUACUAGGGAGGCUGAGGCAGAAGGAUUGCUUGAACCUGGGAGGCAGAGGUUGCAGUGAGCCAAGAUUGAGUGACCGCACUCUAGACUGGGUGACACAGAG
rnacentral:lncRNA from 1 species